CAUUUCUGGCGAGAGGAAUUGGUCCGACAUUUAUUGUGGGUACUCGAUUCUCUCUCGCCAUCCUUGAGUGGUCCGUUCUGGCAUUUAGUUGUCGGAGCGUCAGCCGCUCAUCGUUUACUGUGAGAAAAUUAGAGUGUUCAAAGCAGGCUUAUGCCGCUUGAAUAUAUUAGCAUGGAAUAAUAAGAUAGGACCUCGGUGCUAUUUUGUUGGUUUGCGCACAGAGGUAAUGAUGAACAGGGACAGUUGGGGGUAUUUGUAUUUCGUUGUCAGAGGUGAAAUUCUUAGAUUUACGAAAGACAAACUACUGCGAAAGCAUUUACCAAGGAUGUUUUCAUUGAUCAAGAACGAAAGUAUGGGGAUCGAAGAUGAUUAGAUACCAUCGUA
rnacentral:rRNA from 1 species